rnacentral:rRNA from 1 species
CAACAAGAACAACAGGGCAUUGCCUUAGUAGCGGCGAGUGAAGCGGCAAAAGCUCAAAUUUGAACACUCUAGGUACUUUCAGUAUCCGAGUUGUAAUUUGUAGAAGCAACUUUGGUGAUGGUCUUUGCAUAAGUUCCUUGGAAUAGGACGUCAUAGAGGGUGAGAAUCCCGUUUAUGGUGAAGAACCCACACUAUGUAAAGUGCUUUCGAAGAGUCGAGUUGUUUGGGAAUGCAGCUCAAAGUGGGUGGUAAAUUCCAUCUAAAGCUAAAUAUUGGCGAGAGACCGAUAGCGAACAAGUACUGUGAAGGAAAGAUGAAAAGAACUUUGAAAAGAGAGUGAAAAAGUACGUGAAAUUGUUGAAAGGGAAGGGAUCUAAAUCAGACAUGGUAUUUUGUGAUCAACAGUCUUUCGGGACUGUGCACUCGCAUUUUACUAGGCCAGCAUCGGUUAGAAGGGGGUAAAAAAGAUUUUGGAAUGUGGCUCCUCGGAGUGUUAUAGCCAAGGUUAAUUGCCCCAUUUCUGACCGAGGACCGCGUCUUUUGACUAGGAUGCUGGCGUAAUGGUUUUGAUCCACCCGUCUUGAAACACGGACCAAGGAGUCUAACGUCUAUGCGAGUGUUUGGGUGUAAAACCCGUACGCGUAAUGAAAGUGAACGUAGGUGAGAGCCUUUUUAAGGUGCAUCAUCGACCGAUCCUGAUGUUUUCAGAUGGAUUUGAGUA